rnacentral:rRNA from 1 species
UACGUAAGAGACUAGUGUUAUUCAUCACAAUUAGGUUUAAAGGGUACCUAGACGGUCAAAAUAGCAUAAAAAAUGUAACUACUUGACUAGAGUUUUAUGUAAGAGGGCAGAAUCUGCGGUGGAGAGAUAAAAUUUUAUGAUACCAAAGGGACUGGUAAAGGUGAAGACAGCCCUCUAUGUAGAAACUGACGGUUGAGGGACGAAGGCACAGGUCACGAACAGGAUUAGAUACC